rnacentral:rRNA from 1 species
GACGAACGCUGGCGGCGUGCCUAAUACAUGCAAGUCGAGCGGACAGGCGCUGCGCUUGCGGGGUGCUCGAGUGGGGAACGGGUGAGUAACACGCGAGUAAACUGCCCCUGACUUUGGGAUAACUUCAGGAAACUGCGGCUCAUACAGGAUAGGAGCUCCUGCUGCACGGUGGUGGUUGGAAAGUUUCGGCGGUUGGGGAUGGACUCGCGGCUUAUCAGCUUGUUGGUGGGGUAGUGGCUUACCAAGGCUUUGACGGGUAGCCGGCCUGGGAGGGUGACCGGCCACAUUGGGACUGAGAUACGGCCCAGACUCCUACGGGCGGCAGCAGUCGGGAAUAUUGCACAAUGGGCGGAAGCCUGAUGCGGCAACGCCGCGUGCGGGAUGACGGCCUUCGGGUUGUAAACCGCUUUCGCCUGUGCCGAAGCGUGAGUGACGGUAAUGGGUAAAGAAGCACCGGCUAACUACGUG